UCCUGUGGAUGCCAGUGGCAAGUGGACUACUGCAGAAGUCUGUUCUGGAGCCUGCACUUUUCAAUAUUUAUUUAUUUAUCGUCUUGGACAAGGAAGUAGAAAACAGUGUAAUUGAGUUUAUAUAAGACUGCUAAAUAUGGAGUGCAGUCGGUCCGUAUAAGGGUAGGACUGCUGUUCAGAAAGAGCUGGAGGAGUGGUCUGGAGUGAACCUCAUGAAGUUCUGCAGGGACAACAGGGUGUCCUGUGCUAGGAUGAGUGGACUAAGACCCUGCAGUGGCGUAGGCUGAGGACUGCCUGGCAAGAGAGUAGCUCUGCUAAAAGACACUGUUCAGAAGGAGAUCAGCAGCUUUGUGGCCAAGUGUGAAGAUGACAGUGUUGAAAAUGAAGGAGAAUCUUAGGUCAUAAAUAAUUGCCUUGUGACCCAAACGACGGUUUGAACCAGUGGAAGAGAAUUCAGUAGUGGAAGAGCAGCUAUCUGUUCUCCUGGAAGCAUUCCAGAAGCACUAAAGUUGCCCAUAAAGUGAUGUUUUGAAGACUAGUCCAGCUGUUUCCAGUGCCUAUUUUUCAUUCCUUGGAGUGGACGGCCUCCUUUUUGAAUGUUGCUGCAUGGAGAGAGAAGAGAGUGAAGAGUUGGACCAGGAGGAUGGAAAGGAGAGGAAUGGAGUGGUGAAUGUUAAGUGGGGUUUCUGGAGCCAAAUGAAUGAUGGCAGGAGUUCACUAUUGUGGCAACAUCAAACAGUGACAAAUUAGAGAGCACUGAAUUCAAGAUUUUCUGCGCUGCCUUCACUUAUUCCCCCUAUGCUCUACUGCAUUCUGAUAACAGACUGGUAAUUUCAGCACCCAGCAAUAGCAGAUGGAAUCUAUUCAUCAUCCCAAUGACCCGGCACAUCAUAACCCACUCAUCAUCCAAUGACCCAGCACAUCGGCUGGAGGAACAGCACAGUGAGUUCCAGAGGUAAUGGCAAGCCAAAUAAUUAGAAGCCUGGCUCCCAGGGAUGAUUUGAGGAUUAAUGGCUGUUUGUAGAGUGCUUGGAGUUCCCCAGCUGCAGCGUGCGUUUAGCUCUGGGGCACAGCAGGCUGCAGGUGCUGGGCAGUGGGAGUGCAGCCCCAGUACUGUGGCUGGCCCGGUGCAGGUCUGUGUACCAGUCUGCAGUACCUCGGCGCUGCUGAGCUAUCAGGAGUAAACGAAGAAAACAGCUUGAGUGGCCUCCUGAUGCCAGCCAGAGCUUCCUUGUUCUUUUCCCCUUGGAAGCCCAUGGGUGACCUCCACAGACUGCAUUGAGCCACAUCUCAAGUGUGCCGGAGCUAACAUGCCACAGAAGGCUGUGACUCGUCGGGGCUGGGACCAUUCACUGUCACUAUCACAAGUGGAGAAACUUUUCUGUCAGGUGCCUGCGCAGUGUCUGAGACCCAGCCUGGCUUUUACAGCCCUAGAAGGAAGUGCUGAGUGCAUUGCUUUCUAAUCUUGCCCAGGGAGGUUUUCAGAGGAGAGGCUGUGCUGUAGGAAUCAGUGUAGGAUACAGAUGGAUCCAGCCAGCUUGCACUUGUUUGAGUCCACGAGGAGCAGUCGUGGGCCAGGCACUCGGGGAAAGUUCCCUUUGUCCCAUGGGAGAAGCACGUGGGCUUGGAAAGAUCCUUGAACCUGCGGAGGGGAGGAAUUUCUCCUUGGGCCUCAGAUGUCCCCCAGGGUGGUGCGGGGAGGAGCCCGAUGCUCCCAGCAUUGUCCGAGGCAGCAGCUGGUGGUGCUGUGUGACAAGGUUCUGCUGGCGCUGAGGUGCAGUGCUCAAGUGUGCUAGCAGGGGCAAUGACCCCUGGGGGAGUGGAACAGGUCAGGUUAUGGCUGCGGAGUCUGUCUUCUGUACAGAGGCAGUGAGCCCAUCCCAAGCUCCUUACCGCUCAUCCCAUCCUCUGGGGGAUGGAGAACUGCUUUUUUCCUUCCCCCUGUAGCGCCAGGAGAGCAAUCAGAACCUCUGAGCUAUGGAACAUCCUCCUUUCCCUCCUCCUCCUCUAGGAGGCCUGUUUUAACCUUUUGUCCCAUGCAGCAGCAAUGUCCAUAUGGCCCUUCACCUGCUAGGGCAAUGUUCCUUGUGGUCUCUCAGCCCAUGUGCUGAAUGCCACUCCUAUCCCAUUCCACCCUCCCUUUGGGUUUUGAGAUGCGAUUGAUCCGUUCUGCAAGUUCACACUGUGCUAACUCAGCACUCCCUGCAGUAUGUCCAACACUGUCCUGCUAAAAAAAAAGAAGUCACUUCUGGUAUUCAAGGGUCCUCAACCAAUGUCAUUUUUGUCCAUUGGGUUGGGAGAAAUUUACUGGGGGACAAUCGUGUCAUCUGAUCUUUGGCAAAAUGCUUCUCUUUGAAACCUUGACUCUUGGUUACGGGUAAUGCAGAUGAGAGUGCUGUGUCCAAUCUCCUCCAAGGAGAGCAGCGUGCUGAAGGGGAAUUAAAGGGCCAUGGGAAUUCUCAGCAUAAUUUUAUUAUGGUGACCUUUAAGGAGACGGUGGGGGGAUGGGUGAAGAACACAGAGAAGACACUGAGAACAGACCACACAGACAGCGCUUAAGGGGGGGAAAGCAAACCCAAAGCAAGUUAGGAAGGGAGACAGGAGAGGAGAGAGAUGGAGCAGAGACUGAAUGAGGCUGGCAAGGAAUGGCGGAGCCACCUCCUUCCAGUUUAUCCAGGGAGUGACAGGAGUAGAUUUGGGGCUCUCCAUCCAUGAAAAACACCCUUCUGUGCAUCGUUCUCCAUUUUCCUGAAAUCUCUGCUUUUCUUCCUCCAGGCAACCAUUAAUCUAAUAUUAAGCCCCUUAACCUCUCUAAUUGUUCCCUUUCAGUGUCAGCUGGUUUCCUAUUAACCUUUCAAUCUCUCCGUAAUGCAGUUACUUCUGAUUCCAGCCAGCCCUGGCUCUAAAGCUUUACCUCCGGCAGUGAAUUUUCCAAGCUUUCCCUUUUUUUUUUUCUCUUUCUUUUCUGUAAUGAUUAUAACUGCUGUUAAGGAGCCAGUUUGAACCAGCCUCUAAAUGCACAGGGCUGAACCACUUGGAGUCUAUAAAUAGCCCUUUGCUAACCUUGGGCCUUAUUUCGUUAAGUUGAUUGGCCUCUCUCUCUCCACUCCGUUGCAUCUCCCUCUCUCUCCUCUCUCCAUUAUUGAUGCUGGUUCUUUUGUUGCUAUCUGACACACCUUCUUGUUGAUAACAGGGUUGGUCAGUGCUAAGUUUUUCCCUCCUGAACAAAAUAGUAUCGUUGCUGGGGAAGUGUCCCUAGAAUUUUUUUAACAAGGAAAGCAGAGAGUGAGACAGGCCUGAAGCAGCAGGUCUGAAAACAACCGUGCCGUGCAAUAGGAAAUUGCCUAGCUGAGCACCAGUCACAGUUUGCUCCCUGUAGGCUGGAUUUCUCCUGUGACAUACAAUGUGAUCACACUCAAAUGCAGUCUCCUGGGCAUAUCCCAUUGUGCAGUACUGAAGCCAAGAUGUCUGUCUGCCCACAGACAAAUCAGGAGUUGCUGGCCUAAAGUUGAAACGGAGAUCUCGGAAUGCUAAGUAAACUGCCUGCUUCUCAGAGCGAUCCCCUCGAAGCUUGGAUGUCAUUAAUCAGUAUACUACUGCCGCUUGUCCCUGCAACAGGGCAGAAUAUGGUUUGCUUCACUGCCCAUCAGAUGCAGCUCUCUGGUAUGUUUGUGCUGUCUCUUCUAACCCCACCUGCUUCUUCAGUGCUGAUGCUGAGCUCUCUUGAACCCUGGUAGCUCUCCUCAGUGCCUGCAAACAGCUUAUUUUUUUGUAAAAUGCAAUGGCUGCUUGCAGUGAAGUUUGAUUUGGAGCAGUUGCGUGAGAUGACCUGGAGUAUAUUGUCAUGCCCCUGUUUUGCUGUGUGUCCAGAGGCAAGGUCUUUCCCUGCAGAGCUGCAUUUUCCCCGAUGAAAGAAGAGAGAGGCGCAGGAAACUUUUGUGGUUUGUGCCUUGGUUGAUAUUCACAGUCUUUUGCUUCAGCUCAGGAGGAUUUGUGUGUCUGAAAGCUCUUCUGUUUUCCCUAGCUGUAUCAUUUGUCUAAUACCAGCUGUUACCUUUCCCUGAGAGUCCUGCCUCAAGGUCAACAGCGGCUUACCAAAAUAAUAGGAGCCAUUCUCUUCUACUCUCCGUGCAGCCCUGUGCGUCUCUGCUUGCCCACUCACUGCUAUUUCUUGCAGCAACCCUUUGUCUUAUUUUCUGGCAAAUGUUCUUGAUCCAUGCUAGGGCAGUAAAGAAAAGCAAAGGAAAAGUGCUGGCAAAUCUGUGGUUAAAGAAGGUUCGCAUGGAGGUAUCAGACGAAGGGCCUUCCUUUUCAACAGCUGAGCCCAAUAAGAAGCAUGGCUUGUAGAAGUGCUGCAUGUGUGGAAAGCACAGCUCCUGAGGCAGGUGGCAGCCAGUGCUCACAUCUGUUUAAUAAUGCACGUUGUGUGGGGUGGCUGAGCGCUCGGUUUCCAUCAUCACAACCGUAUGGCCUUCAUGUUUUUUUAAAGUCUCAGGCCCAGCCUUUCACUCUGGUGCCAUGUGGGUGCAUUGGAGCCGCCGAGCCCUGGCCAUUCUUUCAAAGGGCUGGGCUCAGGCUGGCGGGCUCAGGCUGGGCCUGCCCCUGGGUGCCAUCUUAGGGCGGGCGCCAUCUUGGGGCACUGCCCUUGGCUCUGAAGUGGCCCCUCAGUGGGGCCAUCCCUGGACCCAUGACCUUGUGGUGAAGAGGUGGGUCAGUGGUGCAGAGCAUGUCUUCAGAGCAGGUGGAAAAUGUAAUCCAAGGCAAGGGUAUCCCUGCUUUUUCAGUCUGUGUACAGCAGACAAGUGAUACUGGACCAUUCCCUAGACACUCCCCGAGUGCCUAUUUUACCCGGCUUCUCUGCUAUGUCCGAUCUGCUCCCUGGCCUCUGGGAAGCUUCCUGACUGCUUACCCCAGUGAUCCAUCAUAUGACCCCGCUGUGGCAAUGUGAUACAGCUUUAGCUGCACUAAUCAGCUUAGCUUGCUCCCCGCUUGUCGUCUUACUUCAGGAAAAACUUUAUGCAGUGCCUGGGUAGGGCUGCUCAUUCCAAAGGAUUUAAAUCCAAGGUGAAAAGUAGCAACACAGACUUUUUCUUUGUUAUUUUGUAGACAGGAUUCAUUUUAUCAUUGCAGCUUCUAACUCAUCAUUCCUCUAGGAGUAGCUGAGCUUUUCAUGAUACACCUAGGUUUCAGUUGUACAGUAAGAUCCCUGUCUCUGUUAACAGGGAAAAAAAAGGAAGCCCCCCCUGAAAAAAAAACAAAAAACCCACAACAAAACAAACCGACAGUAAUGAGUGCUUUGGCCGAAGCAUUUGAGAGGUGCUCAGUCAUCCAAAUGAACUUAGAGACUGCAUCACUUCCCUCCUUUCUCUUCCCAGCUUGAAGCAAAUUGGGCUCUAGAGAAAAGAAUAUUGUUUGUUGCAGGGGACUGGAAACUUUCACCUUGAGCCUCAAGGGGGAUUUUAGAUAAGACAGCAGGAAAGAGGAGGACUUUUGGUAAACACAUUUUGGAAAUACAUUUUUUUUUUUUUUCCUCUCCACAGAGAGACAUUUCCAUGCUGGAGUGCUGGGAAAAGUCAGAAUUUGGUUGAGAAGUGACAGCCCAGCCUCCAUCUUGUUAGCUAGUCAGCCAGUGAUGCACGUGGGAGAAAGUAUGCUGAUAUCUAAGUCUCCAUUAGGUGAGGGCAAAUCAACUGUACUAUAGGGUGAAAGAAUAACUGAAUAUGCUGCUGUAUAAGAGAAGGAUCUGGCAAAAACUGAGCACCUUCCAAAACCUGAGAACCACAACUGCUGGCAGUUUGUCAUGAGAAUCUCAGCCCAUCAGGAGACGGUGAACACCCAGCACGCUUCCAGGACAGGGAACCUCUCCAGACCUGCCUCAGGGUUUUCCCAUCUCAGCUGCUGCAGCAGCCUCUGCUCCCAGGCUUCUGAAACACCAUCCAGAUACAAAAGGAGGAUCUAAAAAGUCCCUGUUUGCCACUUCUCCAGCCCUUUCCCCUCUCUAAGAGGCCUGUCCCUGAGAGAGUUAAUGAUCCUGCUUUCUCAGGAGGUGAAAAGAUACUUCCGUGUAGCAUCCCAGGGGAGAUAUGGAACUGCCAGGAGUAGCAGAAGACUUUGAACAUCCUCAAGGUUUUGUACUUGCGUUGUCCUCUUAGCACCCGUGACUUGAAUAUAGUCUGGAACUGAUUAACUUCACUUCGAUCUCUGGAAGGGAAUGUUCUUCCAGCAGUUAAAUAUUCUCUCAGCAUUGCACAUGGACCAGACAUUACAGAGGCUAGGGCUGCAUUUGCAUUUUUUCCUCAUGAACUGAAAGAGAAAGGAAUAUCCUCCAGUAUUUCAGUGCUGCCAUUUCCAUCCUUCGUGGUGGUCCGGUGCCAAAUUCAAGCUGGCUAUCCUGUUAGCUUCAGCAGCAUUCCCCCAAGCCCUAUGGCCAUGAGAUUUGCAGCUCACACAGCAGGGAACCCCUGCCGCACACACGACAAAUACUUUGGUUCCAAAGUACAUCCUCAGAGAACACUAUGAAUCACAUUUCUGAGAAACACAGUAUCUCUAGCACAUAUAAAUGCCUUUGUGUGAUAUUGCAUUAGGAGAGGUAGAGCUCCCCUACUCCAGCCUUCCACCUGUGGGAUGACAGUGGGGAUAAAAGUGAGUUAGGGAGCACUACAGUGAAGUGGUUAAACUGGGAAAAUCUGAAGCAUCAGUACGAGCUUUUAGAAGUAUCCCUAACUUCCCUCCAGCUCCUGUCUGCAGUACACACUUGUGUGUGUGCCUUUGGUGUGCUGAUACAGCCAACAGGGAAAUAUCACCUCCUGCUGCUGCUGCCUAGCAUCAAACUGGGGGCUGGGGCAUUAUGCUGCAUUCUGGGGAAAGAGAGCAGAGUGGGCUCUCUGACUCCUUCCAUGUGAAGCUGAAGAACUCACUGAGGAAGCAGUUCAGCUUAUGAAGUACCCUAAGAGACCUUUCCAUAGGAACUAUGCUCAUGGCUGCUCUGUCCUGGCUAUGGCAGGUCAGGGAGAGCUGCUUGCCACCCCAGGACUAGACCUUCCCCAGGCCCCCAGCACACCAGCAAGCCACUGCUGCUGUGUCUGUGCAGGGAGGAGGGGAGGAAGCUCGGAAGGUAUUUUGGCUCUGUACAGGGCUGAGCAAACAGCAGCAUUUGCCUGAUAGUGACCAACUGCCUAGGAAUAGGUGCAAUCUCUG
ensembl:lncRNA